AUAAUAAUUAUUACCAUUAUUAUUAUUACCAUUAUUAUAAUUAUUAUUACCAUUAUUAUUAUUACAUUCCAGUCUAGUGAAGGUAUUAUCCUACUACAGCCAUUAUUACUACUACUAUAAUUAUUAUUACCAUUAUUAUUAUUACAUUCCAGUCUAGUGAAGGUAUUAUCCUACUACAGCCAUUAUUACUACUACUAUAAUUAUUAUUACCAUUAUUAUUAUUACAUUCCAGUCUAGUGAAGGUAUUAUCCUACUACAGCCAUUAUUACUACUACUAUAAUUAUUAUUACCAUUAUUAUUAUUACAUUCCAGUCUAGUGAAGGUAUUACCCUACUACAGCCAUUAUUACUACUACUAUAAUUAUUAUUACCAUUAUUAUUAUUACAUUCCAGUCUAGUGAAGGUAUUACCCUACUACAGCCAUUAUUACUACUACUAUAAUUAUUAUUACCAUUAUUAUUAUUACAUUCCAGUCUAGUGAAGGUAUUACCCUACUACAGCCAUUAUUACCAUUAUUAUAAUUAUUAUUACCAUUAUUAUAAUUAUUAUUACCAUUAUUAUUAUUACAUUCCAGUCUAGUGAAGGUAUUACCCUACUACAGCCAUUAUUACUACUACUAUAAUUAUUAUUACCAUUAUUAUUAUUACAUUCCAGUCCAGUGAAGGUAUUACCCUACUACAGCCAUUAUUACUACUACUAUAAUUAUUAUUACCAUUAUUAUUAUUACAUUCCAGUCUAGUGAAGGUAUUACCCUACUACAGCCAUUAUUACUACUACUAUAAUUAUUAUUACCAUUAUUAUUAUUACAUUCCAGUCUAGUGAAGGUAUUACCCUACUACAGCCAUUAUUACUACUACUAUAAUUAUUAUUACCAUUAUUAUUAUUACAUUCCAGUCUAGUGAAGGUAUUACCCUACUACAGCCAUUAUUACUACUACUAUAAUUAUUAUUACCAUUAUUAUUAUUACAUUCCAGUCUAGUGAAGGUAUUACCCUACUACAGCCAUUAUUACUACUACUAUAAUUAUUAUUACCAUUAUUAUUAUUACAUUCCAGUCUAGUGAAGGUAUUACCCUACUACAGCCAUUAUUAUUAUUACUAUAAUUAUUAUUAUACUAUUAUUACUAUUAUUAUUGUUACUAUUAUUAUUGUUACUAUUAUUAUUGUUACUAUUAUUAUUAUUACUAUUAUUAUUAUUGUUACUAUUAUUAUUAUUACUAUUAUUAUUGUUACUAUUAUUAUUACUAUGACUGUUAUUAUUUGUACUAUUAUUCGUUUUUACUAUUGUUAGUACUAUUAUUAUUAUU